rnacentral:rRNA from 1 species
AAUGAACGCUGGCGGCGUGCUUAACACAUGCAAGUCGAACGAGAAAGGGAUUGCUUGCAAUCCUGAGUAGAGUGGCGCACGGGUGAGUAACACGUGGAUAAUCUACCUUUGAAUCCGGGAUAACUGUUCGAAAGAAUCGCUAAUACCGGAUGAGAUCAAUUUGUCCUUGGAUAGAUUGAUGAAAGACAGCCUCUUCUUGAAAGCUGUUGUUUGAAGAUGAGUCCGCGCACCAUUAGUUUGUUGGUGGGGUAACGGCCUACCAAGACCAUGAUGGUUAGCUGGUCUGAGAGGAUGAUCAGCCACACUGGAACUGACACACGGUCCAGACUCCUACGGGAGGCAGCAGUGAGGAAUUUUGCGCAAUGGGGGCAACCCUGACGCAGCAACGCCGCGUGAGUGAAGAAGGCCCUUGGGUCGUAAAACUCUGU